rfam:Spinacia oleracea cultivar SynViroflay scaffold7050.con0010.1, whole genome shotgun sequence.
AACCUAUUAGCUUAAAUGGGAGAGCAUUGUGCAAAUGCACAAAGAUGUGGGUUCGAAUCCCACAUGGGUAA